AGGUAUAAGUAUAGGUAUUAUGUAGUUUAAAGCGUUGCUUUUUUAUCACACAGGAGUGCGUGUUUUUAAUCAGGCACUGACAAGGACCGCACAUUACAAGGCGGAUGUCUCCUUGACUCAAGGACCCAUUCUACAGGUGAUCAUCAAUCAUCGACCAAAUUAGCAUUUUUUUUUACCUCAGUUGACUCAUUUGAUCUUAACCCAAAAGUUUCAAAAGGUCAAAUCAUGAUGGAUGCAAGUCGAGCCAAAAGGCUUUUCAAAAAGACGCCCAGGAACAGUUUCCAAAGCGUGACGACCGACCCUGGACGCUGAUGUCAACGGACU